CAUUCUAAGGCGCUUGAGAGAACUCAGGAGAAGGAACUCGGCAAAUUGACACCGUAACUUCGGAAGAAGGUGUGCCUUUAGUAGGUGAAGGGAUUUACUCCUGGAGCCCAAUGAGGUUGCAAAAAAUCGGUGGCUGCGACUGUUUAUUAAAAACACAGCACUCUGCAAACACGAAAGUGGACGUAUAGGGUGUGACGCCUGCCCGGUGCUGGAAGAUUAAAUGAUGGGGUGCAAGCUCUUGAUUGAAGUCCCAGUAAACGGCGGCCGUAACGAUAACGGUCCUAAGGUAGCGAAAUUCCUUGUCGGGUAAGUUCCGACCUGCACGAAUGGCGUAACGAUGGCCACACUGUCUCCUCCUGAGACUCAGCGAAGUUGAAAUGUUUGUGAUGAUGCAAUCUCCCCGCGGAAAGACGGAAAGACCCCAUGAACCUUUACUGUAGCUUUGUAUUGGACUUUGAACAGAUCUGUGUAGGAUAGGUGGGAGGCUUUGAAGCAGGGUCGCUAGAUCUUGUGGAGCCAGCGUUGAAAUACCACCCUGGUGUGUUUGAGGUUCUAACCUAGGUCCAUUAUCUGGAUCGGGGACAGUGCAUGGUAGGCAGUUUGACUGGGGCGGUCUCCUCCCAAAGCGUAACGGAGGAGUUCGAAGGUACGCUAGGUACGGUCGGACAUCGUGCUAAUAGUGCAAUGGCAUAAGCGUGCUUAACUGCGAGACUGACAAGUCGAGCAGAUGCGAAAGCAGGACAUAGUGAUCCGGUGGUUCUGUAUGGAAGGGCCAUCGCUCAACGGAUAAAAGGUACUCUGGGGAUAACAGGCUGAUACCGCCCAAGAGUUCAUAUCGACGGCGGUGUUUGGCACCUCGAUGUCGGCUCAUCUCAUCCUGGGGCUGUAGCCGGUCCCAAGGGUAUGGCUGUUCGCCAUUUAAAGAGGUACGUGAGCUGGGUUUAAAACGUCGUGAGACAGUUUGGUCCCUAUCUUCCGUGGGCGCUGCAGAUUUGAGGAAGCCUGCUCCUAGUACGAGAGGACCGGAGUGGACGCACCUCUGGUGUAUCGGUUGUCACGCCAGUGGCAUUGCCGAGUAGCUAUGUGCGGAAGAGAUAACCGCUGAAAGCAUCUAAGCGGGAAACUCGUUUCAAGAUGAGAUCUGCCGGGGCCUUGAGCCCCCUGAAGAGUCGUUCAAGACCAGGACGUUGAUAGGUCAGGUGUGGAAGCGCAGUAAUGCGUUAAGCUAACUGAUACUAAUUGCUCGUGCGGCUUGACCCC
rnacentral:rRNA from 1 species